AUGUUGUCAGGUCACAGUAUGAGCACACCAGUAUUUACCAAACUGUUCCAAGACUCAAAACAACAGGCUGAUACUGUGCUCAAUGUUCUGACUUGUCAGCCGUGUUGACUACUUUGCCCUGAUGAGGUGCUCUUAAGAGACAUAAGUGCCUCUAAGCCUGCACUAACUGAUCCUAAGGACCUGGCCCUCUGGC